rnacentral:lncRNA from 1 species
UGAAAGGCUCCAGGAGGAAAACCAUCAAUUAUGGAUUUCAAAUCCUCUCUAUGGGAAAGAAAAGGUACCGAAGCUACAGCUUUGAGCUACAGAGGCCGUCAAGAGUAAGGAAGAUGCUGAAGUCAAACGUCAGAACAAGACAGCAGACAUGGUUGCCGUGACGGAAAGCACAAGGUUAAGUUCUCUGUUGGCAUCAGAUCCACUAUGACGAAAUGGUUGACGAGAAAGAUGCAGAGCUUGAUGAUAAGAAGAGAGAAGACAUGGAGGCAGCUGCUAAUAGAACAUCACUGGAAUUGGAUCUGUCACAGCAGAACAUGGAAAAUGGCCAUUUGAAGGAACAACUGGAGAAAGAAAUGAAGGAGAGGGUAAGUCCCCUGCCAUCCACCAUGCUGACAAAGGUGUGUCAAGUGACAAAUGUUGUCUAUUGA